AACAAACGCUGGCGGCGUGCAUAACACAUGCAAGUCUAACGGGAAUGUCGGCUUCGGCUGACUAGUACCGUGGCGAACGGGUGAGUAACACGUGGGUAAUCUCCCCUCGAGCUUGGGAUAACCUUGCGAAAGCGAGGCUAAUACCGGAUAAGACCACGCCCUGUACGCAGGGUGCGGUCAAAGGUGGCCUCUUCUUGAAAGCUAUCACUUGAGGAUGAGCCCGCGGCCUAUUAGCUAGUUGGUAGGGUAACGGCCUACCAAGGCGACGAUGGGUAACCGGCCUGAGAGGGUGUACGGCCACACUGGCACUGAGAUACGGGCCAGACUCCUACGGGAGGCAGCAGUGAGGAAUUUUGCGCAAUGGGGGAAACCCUGACGCAGCAACGCCGCGUGAGUGAUGAAGGCCUUCGGGUUGUAAAGCUCUUUUAGUGGGGAAGAAGCCCUCCAGGACUAAUACUCCUGGGGUCUGACGGUACCCACAGAAAAAGUUCCGGCUAACUACGUGCCAGCCGCCGCUGUAAGAC
rnacentral:rRNA from 1 species